UAGUGUUACAGCUCUUUUAAAAUUUGUCUAGCAGGCUUUCCAGUUUUUGUAGGAAAGCCCCC
ensembl:snRNA U7 U7 small nuclear RNA